rnacentral:rRNA from 1 species
UUCGAGUGGCGGACGGGUGAGUAACGCGUGGGUAACCUGCCUUACACAGGAGGAUAACACCUGGAAACAGGUGCUAAUACCGCAUAAGCGCACAGGGCCGCAUGGCCCGGUGUGAAAAACUCCGGUGGUGUAAGAUGGACCCGCGUCUGAUUAGCUUGUUGGCGGGGUAGAGGCCCACCAAGGCGACGAUCAGUAGCCGGCCUGAGAGGGUGGACGGCCACAUUGGGACUGAGACACGGCCCAAACUCCUACGGAAGGCAGCAG